GUACUUGCUUCGGCAGUACAUAUACUAAACUUGGAACGAUACAGAGAAGAUUAGCGUUGCCCCUGCGCAAGAUUGACACCCAAAAUCAUGAAGCGUCGCCGGAACGG